GUAGGUCAGAGGCUAUCCAGCCCGCCUGAAAAGCGGAAGGUCGGCGGUUCGAUCCCGCCCCUGGCCA
rnacentral:tRNA from 1 species